rnacentral:rRNA from 1 species
AUAUCAUUAAGCGGAGGAAAAGAAAUUAACUAAGAUUGCCUCAGUAACGGCGAGUGAAGCGGCAAAAGCCCAAACUGGAAAUCUUCACACUGCGUGUGACGAAUUGUAAUCUAAAGGUGGGUCGCUCACCGGGUGGAGGCGCAGAAGUUCCCACGAACGGGACGCCAGAGAGGGUGACAGCCCCGUAUGUGGUGCCUUUGCCUAACGAGCCCCUUCCUACGAGUCGGGUUGUUUUGAAUUGCAGCCCUAAGCGGGAGAUAGACUUCUUCUAAGGCUAAAUAUCUAUGGGAAACCGAUAGCGAACAAGUACUGUGAAGGAAAGAUGAAAAGAACUUUGAAAAGAGAGUCAAAAGACUUGAAAUCGUUGAGAAGGAAGCGGUAGAAAUUUAUUCUUCGGCGGAGGGCGGUGGCGGCUGCCUAACCAUUGACGGGCGUCAGCACUGCAAAGGCUGUGUUUGUCACUUGGGGAAGCGGCCGUUUUGCUCUCUGUCGUGAGGCAAGAUGGGGUCGUGCUCCCGCAGAGGCUUCUCCAGCCUGGCCUGAUUCGUCAGGCAGCUGGGGUUUGCUGGCGGGGUUGCGGCCUGAGGGUGCUUCGUGCGAUCUUGCCAAAAUGGUUUUUACCGA